ensembl:lncRNA
GGACCCAACUGCCCAAGGUUGCAAACCUUUAUUUCCCAGUGCCACCCCCUCCCAAGCCAAGGUUUGCACACAGUCGCCUCCUCCCCCGCCACCGCCGGCAGUACACACUCGGCAGUACACACUCGGCUGGGUUCCCGCUCUGCGAGGGAAGGUCACAAUAGCUGCUCUAUCUGCAGAGGCGCCUGCCUCCUCCCUCCCUGGGUCUCAGAGAAGCAGAGAAAGAAGGGGGAGGGGCGCCGGCCGCCGACGGCGCCCAGGGCCGGGGGCCUCUCUUCUUGGGGAAGAGUUGCAGCGGUACUUGCAAGAGGAAGUUGGGUGGGGUAAGAAAUCUCCACCCUAGCUCCUGCCUCUCAAGUGUUCCGGGGGGCAAAGGGAAGGCACCAAGGCCUCGAAGUUGCUCGAGGCCUCCCUGCUCCACGCUUCCUUGAGGGUGCCCAGAGCAGCCAGAAGCCGGGAACACGCACGCCAUUGUGUGCGCUGCUUCCCCAUGGGUUCUACAGCAGAGGAGGCCGUAUGUAGGCAGCACAGGCUGGUGGCCGGAGGUGGGAAGAAGCUGGCCCCUCUUGCUCACUGGGGCUUUGGUCUCUGGGAUCUACCGUGGUUGCCUAAGAGAGGAAAUGGCUCUUAAGCUCGUGCCUUUGGCCAGUUCUCCCUUACCCUAUGGCAACUGCGUUUUUGGGGUGUGUGUGUGUGUGUGUGUGUUGGUGCUGGUGGGGUGUCAAGGUGGUUAGGGGGUCUCUUGAGAUCUGAAGAAAGGGGUCAGGGCUGUGAGCCUAGGCCCAUGGGUGAGGGGUGGCUGUCCACCUGGCAUCCUGGGUGGUUCUGUCCAAGCAAUCAAAUGUGAAUUAAGGCAGGGUGGAAUAGCCUGCUGCACAGCAGGGGUUGGAGUGAGAAAUAAUUUAAGCCGAAGGAGAGAGUUCCUUGCAACCAGGAAAAACUCAGGAUCCAGUCUGCAGUAGAGGGCCUAGAAUGGAGCUAACCAGGAAAUUGCAGAAGCUGCUGAGGAACAGGCCUUGAAGAGUAGUCCUGGCACUGGUAAGGAGGGCCCAGUGGGAAAAUGGGUCGAGUGAGCGGCACCAGAGUCCCUCGCUCCAGCCUGCCGCCUCUUGGGACAGCGACGAUGCUCUCCUCAGCACGCACGGCAGAGAACACACAAAGAAAGCCGGGACCUGUUCUCGGCAGUUUCGAGGAGGAGGCUGGUGAGGACCCCGAGGCGGAGUGCCCCAGCCCCGCAGGAACAAUAGCUGCAGGCGGCAGUGCGGAGUGCGGCACAAAGCCCGCCGGAUCCACGCCGUCACGUGAGCCCCCCCCCCCCCGCCGCAGGGCUCGGGACCCACCUGGGCCAUUUGCGGAGACAAGCGGUUCCUCCUACUUCAGAGCAAGUCUGGGCCAGCUGGGAGCCGACCAGAAACCGCCAGCGGAGGAGACUCGGGCGCACUGGCUGGGUACUUGCAGAGGGCGUGACCCGCGGUGUUCCCACCCCCACCCCCACCCCCGCCUCACUACAGCCUGGGCUGGAGGGGAGUGCUGGUGGCCACCUCCUUGCCUUGGGGACAGGCCGGCUGCGCCAGCCCUCAGACUUCUCUGGGCACCCACGCCUGCCCCUGCCCCACAGUGACCCUGCAUUCCCUGUCCCUCUCCACACUGGCCCCAGUGACCCGCUGCUCUGUUCCCAGAAAGGGAUUUAUCUGACUCUGAAGGCAGGAGAAAAAGCCCACGAGGCCAGAGGGUUUUUGCAAACUCUUAAGUCUUAUUUGGCUGCGGGAGUAUUUGUGUGGGAGGAAGACCACUGUUGAACUUGAAAUAAACUUGAAUGUCAUUUAUAGUAACAAUAAACAUAUACUGAAAACACCAGUCACAAUGAUGUUUCUUCUCUUGGAGUGUAGCAGCAAGACUCCUAAGUACUUUUACCUCAGCCCUCAGGUUAAUUUUAGAAACAUCAUAGGGCUAAACUGCAA